UUCCUCUCUACUCCUUCAUCCAAACGCAUCGCGCACCCCACUGGCUCGGCAUGACGGCAAAACAAUUAAGCAAACACCUCUCAGGCAGCAUGCCUAAGAACAGAGCGCACAUAAACACCAGCGAUUUCCAGCUCCCCUUUCAGUGGGGUUGCCGUCCUAUUUCCAGUAGCUAGCUACUCACCUCGUCAAGACACUGGUGGGAGUUCCACAAAUGGGAUCAGCCGCGCCAUUGCCGGCGCCAACCGCUGUUUUCCCUCGACAUCGCCCACAACCCCAUGUCAGAUCGCAGAACAGAAUUUCAAGAUUCACGCACAUUAAUUGAAGCCAACAGACUCACGCGUUCAAGCAAUCCUGCCCGGCUACAGUGCGUCAAUACCUGGACAGAAUUGGAGCCAUGCGAAAAAUAUGGCGAUCCCUGCUGCGACUAAGAGGACCAGCCAGUGUUUGAAGUGAGUGGAUAAUAACAAGGACUUCAAUGCAGUCAGCUUAUUUGCCCACUGCAUC